ensembl:lncRNA
CGAGGAUGAUUUCCUGGGACCCUUGAACUCUGAGCAGGCCCCUGCAGGGAAAGUGACUGGCCCGCCCCCCUGCUCUGCCCCUGUCAGAGCCAGCACCUGUCAGGGGCGUGGCUGGAGGGUGGGGAGACGCUGGCACCCGGCCCCUCCGCCCGCCCGCUCCCCCAGCCCCACACUGUCCCUUGCCACGAUGGGCGCUGGGCGGCAGGCUUGGGACAGCUGGGGACGAGGGAGAGGCUGGCAGGCUGAGGGAUAAAGGGAAAGUGCCAGGAGGGACUUCACAGCCAGCAGCAGCAGUGACAGCGGUUGUUCAGCCUCCCCGGCCACUCUUGGAGCGGGGCAGGGAAGCCGAGGCAUCUGGAGCCCAGACACUGCCAGGAAGGUCUCAGCCAAGGGCCUGUGUGAAAACCAAAGACCCAGAGAAGCCAGGGAAGGGUUACAAAGAUUUUCACUGGGUGCUCAUAACAUCCAAACAUUUUUAAGUUAGUGACUAGUAUUUGCAGAUUUGAAAUCCAGUCUGAGGAGGCGGCCACAUGGACCACACGUCCCGGCAGGACAACUGCUGGCCAAAAGGGAGUCAGGGCCCUGCAUCCUGGAAGGUCCUGGCCGUGCCUCUGUCCUGACGAAACAGGGCAAUGGCACAGUGCGUCUCUCCGAGCUGGGCUCUGCUCCCUGCCUUCCCAGCAAGUCUCAGACGGGUCCUGUGAUUCAUCAGCCCCACUUUCCUGACAAGCAGCCGGAGGUGGAGGAAGGGACAGCUGCAAUCAGAUCCGACUGUGAAAGAAUGUUCUAGAGCCUGGCGUGGCACACACCUGUAAUCCUAGCCCUCUGGAGGCUGGGGGAGGAGGAUCGCACAGGCAGCUUCUAAAUACCCCUUCGCAGACAGGUGUGCAACAUGCCCUUCUCAGGGGAUGAAAUAAGGUAACUAAAGAUGAAAUGAGAUGUGCAGAUGAAGAACGGGCCUGCGGGGGUGCUGGAUCAGUGUUGGCUCCUCCUUCCUGAGUGGCUUGGUCCUGGAGGCAGCCAUGAGCCGCCUGGCUUGCAUUUAGCUGCACUAAAUUCAAGCCUUGUUUUCUUCAUGAUGGAUUAAAAUGGGACAUGCCACCCUCCCUCUUCCCCUCCUCUUAGACCUAGACCCUCAUUUCCACCUCUCUGGCCCUGGGUGUGUUCUUGUGUGGACAACUUAACUGCUCUGAGUCUCCGUUUUCUCAUCUGAAAAAUGAGGUGUCCUGCUACGACUCCCAAACUGCUGUACCAGGAAGACCGAGACACGAUGCCGAGAGCCGGGGAUUUAGCUCAGUGGUUUCGCCACCUGCCUCACAAAUGCAAGGUUCUGAGUUUGAUCCCUGGUACCAAAAAAAAGAAAGAAAGAAAAAAAGAGACACGAUGCAGAGAACAUUCUUCGCAAUGCUCAAGGUUGCUUUUCUUUUUCCCUCAUGGACAUCCGGUGGAGUUUUCCAGUGGGCACAAGACACGACAUCCAGACAUCCAGCAGCUGAAGGCAGAGCAGACUCGAGGAGCCAGCUGCCUUCUACCAAACUGUGCAUUUGAGAAUUUGCAACUGUGUAGAACAGUGUCACCUUUCUCGGUAAACCUUUUGGGGAAAAUCUGGUUCUUUAGAAUAAAAAUGCUUAACAUGCAGUGAUUUAUUGUUCUUUUAAAAUUAAUAAACGUAAAUGGUUUCUUGAUUUAAGUCUCUAAUAUGGUAAAUGUCUAUAG